rnacentral:sRNA from 1 species
CAAUGGAUCCGUCGGUCGUGCUACUGUCGCUGAUGCGUGCUUGUUGAGAGCAAGCGCAGAAAUGAGAACAAAAA